GCGAAAGCGAGUUUUAACUGAGCGUUCAGUUACUUGACGUAGACCCGAAACCGGGCGACCUACCCAUGAGCAGGAUGAAGCGAAAGUAAAAUUUCGUGGAGGUCCGAACCCACGAGCGUUGAAAAGCGCGGGGAUGACUUGUGGGUAGCGGUGAAAUUCCAAUCGAGCCCGGAGAUAGCUGGUUCUCCCCGAAAUAGCUUUAGGGCUAGCCUCAAGGUGAGAGAUACGGAGGUAGAGCACUGAAUGUCCUAGGGG
rnacentral:rRNA from 1 species